GAUUAACGCUGGCGGCGUGCCUAACACAUGCAAGUCGAACGAGGUAGCAAUACCUAGUGGCAGACGGGUGAGUAACGCGUGGUCAACCUACCGUUGAGUGGGGGAUAACUAGCCGAAAGGUUAGCUAAUACCGCAUACGUCUCCGAGGGGCAUCCCUUGGCGAUAAAAGGAGCAAUCCGCUCGAUGACGGGACCGCGUCCCAUUAGCUAGAUGGUGGGGUAACGGCCUACCAUGGCUCCGA
rnacentral:rRNA from 1 species